rnacentral:rRNA from 1 species
UACGGAGGAUCCAAGCGUUAUCCGGAUUUAUUGGGUUUAAAGGGUGCGUAGGCGGCCUGUUAAGUCAGGGGUGAAAGACGGUAGCUCAACUAUCGCAGUGCCCUUGAUACUGAUGGGCUUGAAUGUACUAGAGGUAGGCGGAAUGUGACAAGUAGCGGUGAAAUACAUAGAGAUGUCAUAGAACACCGAUUGCGAAGGCAGCUGACGAAACUAUAACUGACACUGAGGCUCGAAAGUGCGGGGAUCAAACAGG